GACGAACGCUGGCGGCGUGCUUAACACAUGCAAGUCGAACGGAAAGGCCCUGCUUUUGUGGGGUGCUCGAGUGGCGAACGGGUGAGUAACACGUGAGUAACCUGCCCUUGACUUUGGGAUAACUUCAGGAAACUGGGGCUAAUACCGGAUAGGAGCUCCUGCUGCAUGGUGGGGGUUGGAAAGUUUCGGCGGUUGGGGAUGGACUCGCGGCUUAUCAGCUUGUUGGUGGGGUAGUGGCUGACCAAGGCUUUGACGGGUAGCCGGCCUGGGAGGGUGACCGGCGACAAUAGGACUGAGGUACGGCCCAGACUCCAACGGGAGGCAGCAGUGGGGAAUAUGGCACAAUGGGCGGAAGCCUGAUGCAGCGACGCCGCGGGCGGGAUGACGGCCUUCGGGUUGUGAACCGCUUUCGCCUGUGACGAAGCGUGAGUGACGGUAAUGGGUAAAGAAGCACCGGCUAACUACGUG
rnacentral:rRNA from 1 species